GUCCACGCCGUAAACGAUGAUAACUAGCUGUUCGGGCACUUGGUGCUUGAGUGGCGCAGCUAACGCAUUAAGUUAUCCGCCUGGGGAGUACGGUCGCAAGAUUAAAACUCAAAGGAAUUGACGGGGGCCUGCACAAGCGGUGGAGCAUGUGGUUUAAUUCGAAGUAACGCGCAGAACCUUACCAGCGUUUGACAUGGUUAGUAUGGUUUCCAGAGAUGGAUUCCUUCAGUUCGGCUGGCUAACACACAGGUGCUGCAUGGCUGUCGU
rnacentral:rRNA from 1 species